rnacentral:rRNA from 1 species
GAUGAACGCUGGCGGCGUGCCUAAUACAUGCAAGUCGAGCGGACGGACGAGAAGCUUGCUUCUCUGAUGUUAGCGGCGGACGGGUGAGUAACACGUGGAUAACCUACCUAUAAGACUGGGAUAACUUCGGGAAACCGGAGCUAAUACCGGAUAAUAUUUUGAACCGCAUGGUUCAAAAGUGAAAGACGGUCUUGCUGUCACUUAUAGAUGGAUCCGCGCUGCAUUAGCUAGUUGGUAAGGUAACGGCUUACCAAGGCAACGAUGCAUAGCCGACCUGAGAGGGUGAUCGGCCACACUGGAACUGAGACACGGUCCAGACUCCUACGGGAGGCAGCAGUAGGGAAUCUUCCGCAAUGGGCGAAAGCCUGACGGAGCAACGCCGCGUGAGUGAUGAAGGUCUUCGGAUCGUAAAACUCUGUUAUUAUGGAAGAACAUAUGUGUAAGUAACUGUGCACAUCUUGACGGUACCUAAUCAGAAAGCCACGGCUAACUACGUG